CACGGGAUAUUUUUCUGUGAGACGGCGAUCUUUGCCUUCUACAAUCCGCUGCUAAAUGCCGCGAAGAUCCACGCCUCCCUGCUCAAGACCGGCUUCCAAAGCCAUGCCUACCGCUGCAACCUCCUCCUCCGCGCUUACGUCCGAUGCGGCGCCUUGGACCAUGCCCGCUCCCUCCUCCUCCACAUGCCUCGCCCCAAUACCGUCUCCUUCAACACCCUCCUCUCCGGCUACGUCCGGUGCGACCGCAUCGACGACGCCCUCAACCUAUUCGACCAAAUCCCCUGCGCAGACGCUCACUCCUGGAACACCAUCACCUCCGGACUCGUCCGCGCCAACCGCUCCCGGGAAGCCCUUGCCUGUUUCGCCACCAUGGCCCGCCACCAUGUCCAUGUCAGGCCCGACGACUUCACCUACUCGACGAUCCUCGCUUGCUGCGAUCUACGUGCGGGAUGGCAGCUUCAUGCACAGAUAAUGAAGACGGCGUCGUUUUUGGCGGAUCCCUUUAUCGGCACAAACCUGAUGAAGAUGUACGCCGACUCCGGGGAGAUGAAUCAUGCAAGGAAAUUGUUUGACGAAAUGGGUGCGAGAGACUUGGCAGCAUGGAAUGUGUUGAUGGAUUGUUACUCGAGAUUAGGGAUGGGCGAGUUAUGUCUCAAGACUUUCGUGGAGGUCAUCAGGGAUGGGAUUCGAGUCGACGAGUUCACGUUGGCGACUGUUCUGAAUGAACUUGCUGAUCACUUGUGGGUUUCGGAAGGCAAGCAGCUGCAUUCAUUGAUGACUAAAGGUGGAUUCUUUACGGACUGCUUUUGUUGCAACGCAUUGUUGAAUCUGUACUCAAAGGAAGAUAUUCAUUCAGCACUUAAGAUGUUCGAUGAAAUGUAUGACCGGAGUGCAGUUUCUUGGACCAUCAUAGUUUCAGGUCUUUUGGCUAGCGGCAACACUUAUACUGCUUUCGAGGCUUUGAAUUCUAUGCAGAUGGCUGAAGUGGAACCAAACUCUCAUACUUUUGGCAGUUUGAUCAGUUGCUGCGGCGAUGUCGGUGCAUAUGACAAUGGUAAGCAAUAUCAUGGUUUGGCUAUUAAGAAAGGUUUGGAACUUGAUGUUAUUGUGGGGAGCUCAAUUGUGACUAUGCAUUCAAAAUGUGGAGAAACAACUGGUGCACUAAGACUCUUCCGAAGCUUGCCCGAGAAAGACAUUGUUUCAUGGAAUGGGGUCAUAUGUGGAUUUGCACAAAAUGGAGGAGCCGCCAAAGCUCUGCAACUCUUUGACGAACUGGUUCAUGUACACCACAAUGAAGUCAUGCCGAAUCAUGUAACCUUUGUUGGUGUCUUGACCGCAUGCUCCCAUGCCGGGCUUAUCCACAAGGGCUGUAAUAUUUUCAAUGACAUGUUUGAAGUGUACUCAUGUGAACCCCAAGCUGAACACUAUGCCUGUAUGGUUGAUAUAUUUGCGCGUUGGGGUUUGCUCGAAGAAGCAGAAGCUGUGAUUCUAGCCCUUCCUACAGCACCUAACAUUAACCUCUGGGGUGCAUUGCUUGCAGCAUGCAAACGGCACAAAAACUUGGUCAUGGCAAAGCGCAUCUCCGAGCAACUCUAUGUGUCGGAACCAUUGAAUUCUUCCAAUUACGUUCUCCUCGCAAACUUGUAUGCUGAAAACAAAGAGUGGAAUGAGGCGAUGAAAGUUAGGAAUAAGAUUUUGACAGUUGGAGUUCAAAAAGUAGUCGGCAGAAGUUGGAUUGAUAUCAGAGGUCAACCUUGUACUUUCGUAUCAGGUGACACACAUAUAACACAGUUUGAGCUAAUCUCCGGGGUACUGGAGACACUGGGAUUGAUAAUGCUUGACGAGGAACGGACGACUUAAUCGACAAGGAUGAAGUGUGGGUGAUGCAAUGAUUCCCUUGAGGUUUAAGUUAAGCACGACUCAUAAACUACGUUCAACAAGUUUAUUUCCCAGAGAGAUAACGGUUGUAUUAUUCUCUUCUCAGUUCCUGGGAUUCAAGAAAAUUGUUGGUUACUAAUCAAUCAAAUUUAUAGUUUGUGCGGUAGAAAUCUACCACCUUAUUUAAGCUUCUUCUUGGAUCUCUUGAUCCUCUUUCUUUUGCCGGUGAGUGCGACUGCUUGGAGUCUUUCGAUUCAUAUCUGUACCAGUUAACAGCCCUGGGUAUUGAUACCACAGAAAGAAAAGUUCUAGGCGAUUCUUAAUGGCUUGAUGGGAUGAGAUUUUGCCGCUCCCAGUGCAGAACCCACAAACUUUGGAGUUCUCCGCUGCAGAUAUUGUGUGGUCAAGAGUGGAAGGAUGGAGAGACAAAAUGGAUCGGCUUGCGCUUAUUCCCUUCCCAAGGGUGAAUGAUUUUGUACGAGGUGAAUCCAAUAACAACGAAUGCCCAACCAGGUUCCAUGUUGAAGCACGCAGGAGGCACCCUCCUCAGUUGGCAUACAAACCAAAAGUCGAUGGGAUUCUUGAGUAUAUUCUGUAAGUGGUAAUCCAGAACUAGUAUACUGCAGUUGGCCUCUUCUGUGAUUGUGGCAGAUAGAAAGGAAAACCUGGACUUAUUGACUGAUGAUUAUUAUGAUAUGCAGGGAUAUCCUUCUUUUAUGACAAAAAUGACUAUUAUCUGGGUGAUUAUUGAUUGUCUCUCAUGAUUGUUGUUUUAAGUUUGUGCAGCUUUGCCAUCAUUUGAUUUUUAAACUACAGCCAUUUUUACACAAAUAAUUCCUGUGGCACUGACUUACUGAUAUCUUAGUUCAAGUUUAUGUAUCCUUUGUACCCUGGAUCAAGGACACCUAUUUACAUUAGUAUGAGCAGAUGCAUUGUCGAUUGUUUGGACUUUAGUUUCUUUUAUUGAUCUAUUUCGAAGCAUAGAAUUCUAUUGUAGAUAUGGGAAGUGUUGAUUACCUAUCACAGACAUAUUUCUAUAUACAUAAUGGUUUUACCUUGAUGCAGAUAUUAGUGUUCGUUUGGGACAGAUGACCAUAGGAAAGGUGGUGUAGUUUGCCCUAGCAGGCACUAUGCUACAAUGAGGAAAUCUCCUGCAGGACGACCAAACACAAAGAGAGAAUGUGUAUGCCAUUUUAUUGUAAAGAGGUUAAUGGCUGAACCUUCUCAUGCUCUUAUCAUAUACAAUCAAGAUAAACAUGUCGACAAAAAAGGGUUACCUUGCCAUGGUCCUCUUGCCAAGAAAUUUGCUGGGACACGAGCAAUGUUUGCACCUUACAUUUCUGAUGAACUUCGUCUUGAAAUUAUGUCACUACUCUAUGUUGGAGUUCCUGUUGAAACCAUAAUGCAGAGGCAUACUCAAAUGGUCCAGAAGCAGGGUGGACCAUGUACUCGAGAUGAUCUUCUCACCCAUAGGUAUGUGCGAAGGUUGGAGAGAAAGAUUAGGCGUUCAGCCUUUGAGAUGGAUCCAGUUGAUGAUGUUAGCAUUGGCUUAUGGAUUGAAAGCCAUAGGGAUCACAUUUUCUAUUAUGAAAAUUUCUCAAGUUCAGAUCCCUUUACUUUAGGCAUUCAGACAGUGGCAACUUCAACAAAUGAUUCAAUUUGGCAACCACAGUAUUCUAGCAUCUGAUUCAUGGCUUGCCACAUACAAAUUCAAAGUAUGAAUGGUUUCUACACUUUUCACUAGACUUGACACGGUUCGGAAUCAACGUUCGAAACCGACGGUUUGGAACCGACGGUUCGGAACUGCCUGUUCGAUGGUUCCUGCCAAAUCAAUCCUUAACUUUAACCGCUCAAAAUGGUUACGGUUCACGGUUCGGAAUCGUUGGUUCACGGUUCACCAUUAUGUUUUAAAAUUUAUUUUAAAAAAGGACUUGUAUUCAUUUAAGUUGUCUACGUUUCCUCUUAG